rnacentral:misc_RNA from 1 species
GAUGAAGAACGCAGCGAAAUGCGAUAAGUAGUGUGAAUUGCAGAAUUCAGUGAAUCAUCGAAUCUUUGAACGCACAUUGCGCCCCUUGGUAUCCCGAGGGGCAUGCCUGUUCGAGCGUCAUUUCACCACUCAAGCCUGGCUUGGUGUUGGGCGACGUCCUCUUUGGGGACGCGCCUCGAAACGCUCGGCGGCGUGGCACCGGCUUUAAGCGUAGCAGAAUCUUUCGCUUUGGAAGUCGGGGCCCCGUCUGCCGGAAGACCUGCUCGCAAGGUUGACCUCGGAUUAGGCAGGGAUACCCGCUGAACUUAAGCAUAUCAAUAAGCGGAGGA